rnacentral:rRNA from 1 species
AACGAACGCUGGCGGCAGGCUUAACACAUGCAAGUCGAGCGCCCCGCAAGGGGAGCGGCAGACGGGUGAGUAACGCGUGGGAAUCUACCCAUCUCUACGGAAUAACGCAUGGAAACGUGUGCUAAUACCGUAUACGUCCUUCGGGAGAAAGAUUUAUCGGAGAUGGAUGAGCCCGCGUUGGAUUAGCUAGUUGGUGGGGUAAAGGCCUACCAAGGCGACGAUCCAUAGCUGGUCUGAGAGGAUGAUCAGCCACACUGGGACUGAGACACGGCCCAGACUCCUACGGGAGGCAGCAGUGGGGAAUAUUGGACAAUAGGCGCAAGCCUGAUCCAGCCAUGCCGCGUGAGUGAUGAAGGCCCUAGGGUUGUAAAGCUCUUUCACCGGUGAAGAUAAUGACGGUAACCGGAGAAGGAGCCCCGGCUAACUUCGUGCCAGCAGCCGCAGUAACAC